rnacentral:misc_RNA from 1 species
CGCACCUUGCGCCUUUUGGUAUUCCGAAAGGCACACCUGUUUGAGCGUCAUGAACUCUCAGCAACAACAUUUCUUUAUUGAGGUGUUGAAGCUGGAUGUUGAGCGCUGCUGUACUCGCGACAGCUCGCUUUAAAUAGAUCAGCCAACUCUGUACUACUCGGAUUGACUCGGCGUGAUAACAUCUUCGUCGAGGACGCUUUACGCGGCCGAAUUGUAUAAGGGGAGCUUCUAACCCGCCUUUGCGCAUCUUUACUAUUGUCCUCAAAUCAGGUGGGACUACCCGCUGAACUUAA